rnacentral:rRNA from 1 species
UACGGGGGGAGCAAGCGUUGUUCGGAAUUACUGGGCGUAAAGGGUUCGUAGGUGGCCAACUAAGUCAGACGUGAAAUCCCUCGGCUUAACCGGGGAACUGCGUCUGAUACUGGAUGGCUUGAGUUCGGGAGAGGGGUGCGGAAUUCCAGGUGUAGCGGUGAAAUGCGUAGAUAUCUGGAGGAACACCGGUGGCGAAGGCGGCAUCCUGGACCGAUACUGACGCUGAGGAGCGAAAGCCAGGGGAGCAAACGGG